rnacentral:misc_RNA from 1 species
GAUUUCGGUUCCGUUCUUAGUGCAUUCGGUUCUGAUUCGGUUCUAUUUUCAGUUCCGAUUUCGGUUAUGGUUCCAAUUCUAGUUUCAAUUCCUACAUUCAAAUUAUUAUAAUAAUUACAUCAAAGCAUCAAUAAAAAUAAUAAUAUUAAUCUUAAAAUAACAAUACUAAUAUCCAAAUAAAAUAUCAAUAAAGUAACAUAAAAUAGAACUAAUAAUUCUUACAUAGAAAUACAUGAUAAUACCAAAUAUCUAUAAUAAGUCCCAUUAAUAUUUUCCAUAUUCCAAAUUACAAAAUAACAGCAAAUUAGUAUCAAAAUAAUAAAAAAAAACCAUAAUAUAAAGUUUCACUCACAUUUCGUUAAAAAAAAAAACAACUAGCCUCUACAUUCCUUAUAGCUACAUUUUCCACAUAAAAUGAAUUCCUUCAAGCCUUCCUCAAAUAUGAUGUCACCUUCAUUUUCACACAAUAAAUAUGUUAAUAGAUGAAUAAUUUUAAUUAAUUAAAGGUAAAAAAAAUAUCAAGUCAAUUCACAACUCACAAUACCUAGCAAUCCACUCUAGUUCUUGGAAUAAUAAUCUCCAUAACAUUAGGAUCUUGAGUAAUCUCUAAAUUUCAUUACAUGAAAAAAAAAGCAAGUCAAAAGAAAAAAAUUUUUGCAAACAAUGAAUAAUUAAGAUCAUAUAAUAUUUGUCGCAAUAGUUAUACCUGACUCCCAAUUUUCAAGAUCUUCAAUGGAUUCUUCAAGUUGGAUGGGUUUUUUUUUCAUUUAUCAGCCAAUCUCAGCAGCAAAUUAAGACCUCUACAGUAGUUGGAAGCAAAGAACUCCUAAAUUGAUCCAAAGUUCUCCCUCUGGUGCUAAAUGCAGGUUCAGAGGCUACGGUUGAACACUGAAUAGCCAGAACAUCCUUGGCAACCUUAGAUAAAAUUGGAUACCUCACUGAAUUCACCUUCCACUAUAAUAAUAAAUCAAAAUCCAAAGUAAACUUCUCAGGAAGUUCUUCCAAAUACCUAUCCAACUCAGAUUCAGAAGCCAACUUUUGCUUCUCCAUUUGAAUAAAGUAAUCAUCAAUCUCUUCAUCUUCUUCUAUCAGUGCAUUAUCACAUUUUUCAACAUUAGCAUUUUGACCAAAACCAUUAUCACCCAUACAUGCUUGAUCAUUUGAACUCAUAUAUUCAUUCAACAUUUCUUUUAAAGCAUUUACCACUCUAUCAACCAAGAGUUUGAACUCACUUUUAGAAUAACAAAUAAUGUAUUUGGCUUUAAUGUAAUUCAACUUGUAUCUAGGGUCUAGGACAACUGCUACAAAUAGCAUCACAUUCAUCUCGUCUAAUGAACCCCAAUAUUUGUCAAACUUUGCCUCCAUUUGCUUGCCCAUUUCAACUAUUCUCUCAUCUCCACUAUUUUCACAAUUAUGUAAUUCCUUUAAAAUUUUCAUGAUCUCUGAUGGUUGCCAAUUCCACCAAAAAUUAACUAAAAUUACCAUUAAUGAAAUGCUCUUUUGUUUUCUGAAUGCAAUAAGUGAUAAUCUAGGUCGAACCCUAGAGACUGAGUUGCUAAAUUUUGUGCACUUGUGUAAUAGGAAAAGGGGAGGGGUGGGGAGG